UGGGGAAUAUUGCACAAUGGGGGAAACCCUGAUGCAGCGACGCCGCGUGAACGAAGAAGGUAUUCGUAUCGUAAAGUUCUGUCCUAUGGGAAGAUAAUGACAGUACCAUAGAAGAAAGCUCCGGCUAAAUACGUGCCAGCAGCCGCGGUAAUACGUAUGGAGCGAGCGUUGUCCGGAAUUAUUGGGCGUAAAGGGUACGCAGGCGGUUUAAUAAGUCGAAUGUUAAAGAUCUGGGCUCAACCCCGCAAAGCAUUGGAAACUGAUAAACUUGAGUAGUGGAGAGGAAAGUGGAAUUCCUAGUGUAGUGGUGAAAUACGUAGAUAUUAGGAGGAAUACCAGUAGCGAAGGCGACUUUCUGGACACAAACUGACGCUGAGGUACGAAAGCGUGGGGAGCAAACAGG
rnacentral:rRNA from 1 species